UAUAUAUGCUAGUCGUGCGGACUUGUUAGAAGCUUGCUUCUAACCAGUUAGCGGCGGACGGGUGAGUAACACGUGGGUAACCUGCCUGUAAGAUGGGGAUAACUCCGGGAAACCGGAGCUAAUACCGAAUAACACUUUCCCUCGGAUGAGCGGAUGUUAAAAGACGGUUUCGGCUGUCACUUACAGAUGGACCCUCGGCGCAUUAGCUAGUUGGUGAGGUAACGGCUCACCAAGGCGACGAUGCGUAGCCGACCUGAGAGGGUGAUCGGCCACCCUGGGACUGAGACACGGCCCAGACUCCUACGGGAGGCAGCAGUAGGGAAUCUUCCGCAAUGGACGAAAGUCUGACGGAGCAACGCCGCGUGAGUGAUGAAGGUUUUCGGAUCGUAAAACUCUGUUGUUAGGGAAGAACAAGUACGAGAGUAACUGCUCGUACCCUUGACGGUACCUAACCAGAAAGCCACGGCUAAACUACGUGCCAGCAGCCGCGGUAAUACGUAGGUGGCAAGCGUUGUCCGGAAUUAUUGGGCGUAAAGCGCGCGCACGCGGUUCCUUAAGUCUGAUGUGAAAGCCCACGGCUCAACCGUGGAGGGUCAUUGGAAACUGGGGAACUUGAGUGCAGAAGAGGAAAGCGGAAUUCCACGUGUAGGGGUGAAAUGCGUAGAGAUGUGGAGGAACCCCAGUGGCCAAGGCGGCUUUCUGGUCUGUAACUGACGCUGAGGCGCGAA
rnacentral:rRNA from 2 species